CAGAACAAGAUGGCAGUGGCCGCCGGCCGUAUAAGGGACAUUUUGGCCUUAUUUUUGUGCGGCUGGGGUCGACUGAUGAGGUCAUCGUGAAGGUCAACCUGGUUUUCCCUUCAGUGGGAUCAAUGCAUGAAUUUGAUCGGAAAGGAUGCACAAGGACUGCUCAGAGCAUGAAAGGAAGAGAGAGGGGGAUGACCAGCAGCAAAGGGCCACAUGCAGGAGUCAUACCCAC